rnacentral:lncRNA from 1 species
AGAAACCACCUGUCAUUUUUUAGGAACCACGGUUGUGGAAUUGUAAGAAGAGUUGUGCUAAUACGAUGUUUGUAUGUUCAUUUCAGGUGUGUGAAGUAUACAAAUUACAUAGAGAGACGUUCUAUUUAACAGUAGAUUACUUAGAUAGAUAUCUGUCUGCAAGAGAAGGAGUCCCAAAACAACAGUACAAUUAAUAGGCAUAACUUGUCUUCUCAUUGCAUCAAAGAUGGAAGAAAUUUAUCCCCCUAAAGUUUCCGAGUAUGCCUAUGUUACCGAUGGUGCCUGUACAGAGUCUGAAAUCCAUGCCAUGGAGUUGUCUAUUCUCAAAGUGUUGCAUUGGUGCCUUUCUCCAUUCACAAUUCACAACUGGUUGUCUGUGUAUUUACAGUUAUGUUAUCAGGGCAAUGAGCGGCACAACCUUGGCUUUGUCUAUUCGCAGUUCUCGCCUGCCCUCUUUUCCCAGCUGUGCAGCUAGUUGAUCUAGCCACUCUAGAUAUAAACUCCCUUAAAUUUUCUUAUAGUGUCAUUGCAAUUUCGGCUGUUUAUCUGUUUUGCAGUGAACAGCUGGCUCUUCACGUAUCAGGUUUUAACUAUUCUUUUAUAUCGGAUUGUGUGGACUGGAUGAGGGAUUUCUGGAAUGUCUUAUUGGAAGAGAAUCCUGGAGGUCGGAUGGAUGCUACCUCUACAGCACUUCCGCCAGGCCCCAAUAAAGUCAGUGCUUUUGAUCUUACGCACACCUUACAAACUCACUCCGUCACCCUAGAAAUGCUGGAAUCUGGUCAAGCAAGACAAGAAGCAAGAAUCAGAGAGAAACUCAGCAAAGCUAGCCCGUUGGUGGUAACAGCAAAUUUGAAUUUGUUAACCCCUCCUUCUAGUUCCAAGAAAGCUUGAACAUGAUCCUGCUUAUGGCUGGGCCUCUGCGUUCCUGUUCUCGGUUUCCCCUACCAGGUAUUAGUGGUACUUUUUUUCCCUCUUCAUGUCGAAUUCUUCUCUUGAUUGGCAACCCUUAUGUGCGGAUUGAUUCUGCCUAUGAUACCUUGUGUACAAAGUUACGUUGUUUCGAAUUUUAUUCUGCGGUACCAGGGGAACUUGUUUCAGAUAUAUCAUUCUGUUAAUUUCAGAUAACUAGUUUUUAAGGAGGUGUGCAACCCUUAUUCUUUGUCCUCUGUACCUUUUAAAUACGUUUUCAUUUUACAUUUAAGGCAUCGCGUGGGGAAAGGGCCCCUUUUUGUGUUACAUAAUUAUGAAACAGUGCCUUUUUGACACCAUUCACCUAAAUUUCAGAAAAAAGCAAAUUUUAGUUGAAGCUAUUACUACAGAGCGUGCCAUCCUCAUAAAGAGGUUUUUUAAUAAGUAACUGUCUUUCUAUUUUAAACCUUUGACAAUAGUUUUAUUCUUAAGAUGUGGCUGUUCAAAUAAUCUUGUUAGAUGAUAAUUAAAUAUAUGAGUUACAGCAUUGUCUGCUGGUAUAAAAAUGGCCUUAUUGUAAAGAGGCAAAACAUUAGGGACCUGAUAAACAUGAGGGAAAUAAUUUUCUCAGCAUGAUGCAUGAAUGCCACAACUAUUGUAAACUUGCUCCACUUUGCCCUUUGUAUCCUAGGAAAUUAAGCUUACAAACUCGUUAGAUUGAAGAACAUGCUGCACACCUCCAAAUUCGCAAUUUUAUUUCUUCUAGGUAUUAGUCAAUUGUUGUAAAUACUGUAAAGCGUUAUUUCAAAAUAUUACCGUUGAUAUUUCCCAGAAAGUGUUAAAUUUCAUCGUUCAAGUUGAUUUGAAAAAAAAUUUAGUAUGAAAUUUUUUAUCUAUUCGUUCUUUUACUGUUAAGACUUACUCCUGAGAGUAUUCUCAGACUUGUCGUUUUUUAGUCUCUCAGCGUUUCUUCAAGGUAGAGAUUGUUAGGAAUAUUUUUCUUCUGAAUUCUUUUAACCUGUAUUUGGGUUUUCCUGAAUUGAUGGUUCAUUGUGGAACGGUAGUGUACUGUUCUUGAUUUUAGGAAGUUUCCACAUGUACAGAAUAAAGUAAUUUACCUGAUGGAGAACCUGCAGCGGAAGGCAAUCUUGUCCUCGGUUCUGUCACUCCAUCAGAUUUUAGAUUUUUUCCCCUUUUCUUCACACUAACUGUUUUUCUCUUUUUAAAGUCUUUUGCUUUAUUUGGAAAUGGCACAAGAGAUUCCCCCCCCCCCCCCUCAACUUAAAAGAAUAUUUUGACAUGACUCCAGUCAAUGAGUCUGUUCAAUAAUUUUUGAUUGUUGCAUUUUUGGAGAGUAGAAAAUGUAUUUCUUGCGCAGGAAUUUUCCUGGAUUUCUUUAGUUAAUACUAACCCACGAAAACAAGUUCAAAGUUGUGUAUUUUGAGCUUCCAUCUAACUGUGCAUUGCCAAGACGACUUCUGUCAAUAUCCAUCUUGCCGCAGCCACGAUCCCAAUUACACAUUGUCUCUGUGAAGAUCCAUGGUGUGAGUAGUUUUUAUGAAUGCAUGGCUAAGCAGACUUUUAUUUGCUGCAGAGGCAACACUUGAUCGAGAUCGUGGCCAAGAGGUAUAUUUUCAGAUACAUCUUGGCCUCUCGGCGAUUCUUAUUAUCAAAUGAAGAUAAUUUGAUGAAUUUCUGUAAUUUUGGUCAGGAAAUUACUCCUCAAACUCUGUAGACUUUUAGGAUGUCCCUAAAGGAAAAGCUCAAUUGCCUAAGUCAUCUGUACGAACAACAAAGCUUUUACUGUACAGGUAAAUUUGUUAAUUUACUCAAACUUUGAAGAUGUAUCUUAAUUAAUACCUCAUUUAUCUCAAACAACAGAACGUCUCAAUCAACAGAAAAAAUUAGCAAUUUGUUCUCUGCAACUGAAUUCCUCCAAGAUCAAGUACAUGGAGCUAUCUACCAACUUAUUUGUAUCAUUUGUGUUCUGUCCCACUUUCCUGUGAGAUUCCUCUACAUAUCAAUCAGAUUUAUUCCAAGCAUUAAGUAGUUACAUUCCUUUCUGUCAAUAAAAAAAAUUUCUCUACCUUUUUUUUUUUUAUUUAUUGGAAAUGGUGAUAUUGAUAAGUCUAUAAACUUAAAAUUAUAAUUUUUUCGUAAUAUUAUAUCUAAAGACUGCAUCAAAAUGUAAAUAUUUGCUCAUUUUAAGCACAAAGUGUCUGUUAUGCAACUAGAAUUUUAUUUUUACACUGGUCUGCAGGUGGCCAAUGAAUUGAGAAAUGUAUGUCUGAACUCCCUGUAUCUGAAGUCAUAUUAGGUAAUAAUAGGUUUUGCAAGUUCUAGCAUUCUCUCGGUCCUUUUUUAGACUCUUCAGUUGAAUUUGAUGAUUGUGAGAGGCUUUUGGUUAAGUUUUUGACUUACUGCUCACUUUCAUUACAACUAAACAAAAUUUCCUCCGCGUUCCAAGCAAAUACAACUUUGAUCUCCAAUGUUAGUAACUGUGAGCACAGCAUCCAAAAUUUUUGACCCACCUCCUGAGGUGCAAACUUCUACUGGUAUCAAGCCCUCAUCAGGUCAAAAAGUGAACUGAAUCCUCUUGCAGAAAUUCGACUGUUUUUCAUAAAGUUAACUUUACUAUAUAGGUAAAUAUUUGUAUAAACAGGAUCAUUUUCAAAAUGGCUUUGUAAAUUAACUAAUUGUUGCGAUAAACCUCACACUUUUGCCCUUGUGUCUUUACCUACCAUUUUCUCUCCUCUCUUGUUUAUAUCCUACCAGAAGGAAGAUUGAUAGCUAGACUAAAGAGAUUUUAUUUUGAAAAUUUUCAACUGAAGUGGGGGAUGAAGUUGUAAAAUGAAUUUUGCUCAAUUAUGAAAGUAUCCAAGAUCGUUGUUUUUCAAGACAGAUGUCAAGUUAGGCAUGGGUAUUUUUGAUGUUUUUUCCUAGUAUGACUGAUUGACUAUUUUAAUGCUAUUUGGAUCUUCCAUCUUUAAAUUGUGAAUUUCUUCUUUAUGGAGCUAAAUUUACAUGAUUUUGUUUAUGAACUGAUUUGAGACUGAUAAAACAUAUCCCUCUGCUUUGUUGCUAGAUGGUUUCCAAUUCACACUGUAUCAAAUUCUCUAAUAUAUAUUAAAAUUUAAGAUAAUAUUUCCACCAACCUUUUUUGAUCUCACUCUCAGUUCGGUUUGCUAUUUGGUUCAGAUGAUCUCAGCCUUACAUUGUCUUUCUCUUCAAUGAAAAGCAUUCAGUGCCCUGAAAUCCCAUACUUGCUUUUUUUUUUUUUUUUUUUUUUUUUUUAGUAUAUUUGUAAAAUGGUAAUAAAUUUAAAUAAAUCAGAACUUCAAGAAACCUAGCAAGUUUGUUUCUGUGAAACCAGGCAGUCUUGAAGUAUAAAUUAGUCUGAAAAUUUAGAGACACAAAUUUUUGUCUUCCUUCAUGAAUACAUAGUUAUAUCACUUUAGUAAAUUCCCCCUUUCAGGAUAAUAUUUCAAUUUAAAAAUUUUGAAAUGAAUCCCCUCUAAGAAAUGUUAGUCGCAUAUAUUUUAGUAGAUAAUUAUUUUACUAGAGACUAGGGUGAUCACUAUCGAGGUGCCACCAUGGUUGAUUUUGGGUUUUUCUUUCUUUUCUUUUUUUCAUUUUGGACCUUGUUCUAAAAAAUUCAAAAGUCUGAUGAUAUUUAUGUCAGUGUGUUUCAAAGGCCUUAUAUUAGAUACUUAUUAAUCAUUAGUACUCCCUAUUUUAUGUUUCUACAUCUGCAAUCCCCAUAAAUAGUAGGAAAUGAGAUGAGUUCAAAAUAUCAUUCAUUUUUGCCCCUAGAAACGUACCAGUUGUCUUCCAAAUGGAGAAUUUGCAAGGGUCUGAAAUUUGAUGAAUUUCGUGUUGAAGUGGAAUCUACUGAGUAAACUGAGCAU